rnacentral:rRNA from 1 species
AGAACGAACGCUGGCGGCAGGCCUAACACAUGCAAGUCGAACGCUGUAGCAAUACAGAGUGGCAGACGGGUGAGUAACGCGUGGGAACCUUCCCAGUGGUGCGGAAUAGCUCAGGGAAACUUGAGGUAAUACCGCAUAAGCCCUUAGGGGGAAAGAUUUAUCGCCAUUGGAUGGGCCCGCGUCGGAUUAGCUAGUUGGUGAGGUAAUGGCUCACCAAGGCAACGAUCCGUAGCUGGUUUGAGAGAAUGACCAGCCACACUGGGACUGAGACACGGCCCAGACUCCUACGGGAGGCAGCAGUGGGGAAUCUUGGACAAUGGGCGCAAGCCUGAUCCAGCCAUGCCGCGUGAGUGACGAAGGCCUUAGGUUGUAAAGCUCUUUUGCCGGGACGAUAAUGACGGUACCCGGAGAAUAAGUCCCGGCUAACUUCGUGCCAGCAGCCGC